rnacentral:rRNA from 1 species
UACGGGGGGGGCAAGCGUUGUUCGGAAUUACUGGGCGUAAAGGGCGCGUAGGCGGCCUGUUAAGUCGAACGUGAAAUCCCCGGGCUCAACCCGGGAACUGCGUCCGAUACUGGCAGGCUUGAAUCCGGGAGAGGGAUGCGGAAUUCCAGGUGUAGCGGUGAAAUGCGUAGAUAUCUGGAGGAACACCGGUGGCGAAGGCGGCAUCCUGGACCGGCAUUGACGCUGAGGCGCGAAAGCCAGGGGAGCAAACAGG